rnacentral:rRNA from 1 species
GACGUAGGGCGCGAGCGUUGUCCGGAUUUAUUGGGCGUAAAGAGCUCGUAGGCGGCUUGUCGCGUCGACUGUGAAAACCCGCGGCUCAACCGUGUGGUCUGCAGUCGAUACGGGCAGGCUAGAGUUCGGUAGGGGAGACUGGAAUUCCGCGUGUAGCAGUGAAAUGCGUAGAUAUGCGGAGGAACACCGAUGGCGAAGGCAGGUCUCUGGGCCGAUACUGACGCUGAGGAGCGAAAAGCGUGGGUAGCAAACAGGAU